UACGGGGGGAGCAAGCGUUGUUCGGAUUUAUUGGGCGUAAAGAGCGUGUAGGCGGCCAGGUAGGUCUGCUGUGAAAACUCGAGGCUCAACCUCGAGACGUCGGCGGAAACCAUCUGGCUAGAGUUCGGAAGAGGCGAGUGGAAUUCCCGGUGUAGCGGUGAAAUGCGCAGAUAUCUGGAGGAACACCGGUGGCGAAGGCGGCAUCCUGGACCGACACUGACACUGAGGAGCGAAAGCCAGGGGAGCAAACGGG
rnacentral:rRNA from 1 species